UUGUGUUUCUAUGAUUGAAUAUUUGUUUGUAUCGAAACAGGGGAUUUCUUUAUGCACGAAAAUGAAAUUAAAACGUUUUGUUUUUUAUUUUUCAUGUUUUCUUUUAAUUUUAAUCGUUUGGUGUGUAGCGUCGUCACAUAAAAGACGAAACAGACCUACUAACUACACAAUCAACGAAACACCGACAAAA